rnacentral:RNase_P_RNA from 1 species
AGAGUCGCCCGGAUCACCGCGUUACAACUAGUUUUCUAGUGGUACCGAGGAAAGUCCGGACUCCACAGAGCAAGGUGGUGGGUAACGCCCACCCGGAGCAAUCCGCGGGAUCAGUGCCACAGAAAAUAGACCGCUCAUGCAAAUGAGUAAGGGUGAAACGGUGGUGUAAGAGACCACCAGCAUUUACGGCAACGUACAUGGCUAGGUAAACCCCACUUGGAGCAAGACCAGACAGAUAGCGCUUGAGAACUGCUCGUUCGAGCUAUCGGGUAGGUUGCUUGAUUUCGUAAGCAAUUACGAAACUAGAUGGAUGGUGAUCGGUUCGCAAGAACUACAGGAUCCGGCUUAUAGAGCGACUCUUCUU